GUACUUGCUUUGGCAGCACAUAUAGUAAAAUUGGAACUAUACAGAGACGACUAGCAUGACCCCUGUGCAAGGAUGACACGCAAAUCUGUGAAGCAUUCCAUAGUUUU
ensembl:snRNA U6 U6 spliceosomal RNA